rnacentral:lncRNA from 1 species
GACUGCUCUACAUUUGGCCUGUGUCAUGGGAAUUCAGAAGUAGUAAAACUCCUGCUGGACAGAAAAUGUCAAUUUCGUGCCUUUGACAGCAAAAAGAGGACAGAUCUGAUAAGGGUAUACAGUAGCCAACUCUGUCGGCAUGAGUCUGUACAAUGCCUGGAAGAGGAAUGUGCGACAAUUUUGCUAGAGCAUGGCACUGAUCCAAAUCUUCCGGAUGUGUAUGGUACGCUGUGUAAAAUGAGGAUAAAUCAGUGGCCCCAAAACUGCUUUCAUACAACGCAAAUAUUGAAUCAAAAAACAAGGAGAAAUGAAGAAGCAUGGAAGUAACAACAUGGGAUUAUCAGAAAACUUGACUGAUGCUGCUGGCAAUGGUGUUGAUGAACUAAUUCCACAAAGAAAGAGUGAAAAACCUGAAAAUCAGCAAUUUCCUAGGACAGAGAAUGAGAAGUAUCAAAGAAGCGAAGCGAUACCCACAAGCAACUUUCUGAAGAGCAGAAUGCCAGAAUAUUACAAGAUGAGAUUCUGACCAGUAAGCAAAAGGAGGUUGAAGGGGCUCAAAAGAAAAUGAAUUCUGAGAUUUCUCAAAGCCAUAAGAAAGAAAAAGACCUGUUGCAUAAAAAUAGUAUGUUGCAGGAAGAAAUUGCCAUGCUAAGACUGGAACUAGACACAAUAAAACAUCAGAACCAGCUGAAAGAAAAGAAAUAUUUGAAGGAUGUUGAAAGUGUGAAAUAAAAGAAUGACAACCUUCAAAAUAUGAUAAAACUGAAUGAG